rnacentral:lncRNA from 1 species
CCUGGGAGAUUUUUUUUUUUUUUAUAGCGAUUGUAUUGACGGUGGGGCCUUGGGGAGGGCAGACACGGACCCUGGGAGCGCUGCAGGGCACUGGGGAGAGAGAGGGGCGGGACUGAAGCCCCCGGAGACUGGGGGCCGGUUCCUUUACGGCCCCGCAACUUGCGCAGGCUCCGUGGUGCCUGGGAGGUGGUGCGCCGGUUGGGUGGGGGCGGGUCCAGGCCGCGGCGUCGGAGAAUUGUCCCCCACCCAGUCCCCGCGGUGACUGGGUUUUGACAGCCUCCCCUCCCGAGCGCGCACAUUCCCAGGUUUGCAGAAUGAAAAUCAAUAAAAUCGAUGCAGUGGUAAAGAA